rnacentral:lncRNA from 1 species
UAACUAUUAAGUUAUAUAAAACUUUGUAAUAAUUGAAUGAAUACAAGUAAGGCGGGAAAAAAUUACACUUAUUGCAAGUGCUACUUUAUUUCUUAAUUUCAAAUUGAAAAAGUAGAAAAUGAAAUGUUUACUUUUUUUCUAACAAGUAAACUAGUAAAGUAGUAAUUUCAAAUGUUUUGCAUCGCCCAUAAUCAAUAUGAACCUAUUGACCUUCUUCUGGGAGUUAAAUUCGAAUGGGUUUCCAUGGGUUAAUAUAUCUCCAAGUUCCUCGUCUUCUGGACUAUCAACAUCUUCCUNNN